rnacentral:rRNA from 1 species
UAGGGAAUCUUCGGCAAUGGACGAAAGUCUGACCGAGCAACGCCGCGUGAGUGAAGAAGGUUUUCGGAUCGUAAAACUCUGUUGUUUGAGAAGAACAAGGACGUUAGUAACUGAACGUCCCCUGACGGUAUCUAACCAGAAAGCCACGGCUAACUACGUGCCAGCAGCCGCGGUAAUACGUAGGUGGCAAGCGUUGUCCGGAUUUAUUGGGCGUAAAGUGAGCGCAGGCGGUUUCUUAAGUCUGAUGUGAAAGCCCCCGGCUCAACCGGGGAGGGUCAUUGGAAACUGGGAGACUUGAGUGCAGAAGAGGAGAGUGGAAUUCCAUGUGUAGGGGUGUAAUGCGUAGAUAUAUGGAGGAACACCAGUGGCGAAGGCGGCUCUCUGGUCUGUAACUGACGCUGAGGCUCGAAAGCGUGGGGAGCAAACAGG